rnacentral:rRNA from 1 species
UAAGCGGAGGAAAAGAAACUAACAAGGAUUCCCCUAGUAGCGGCGAGCGAAGCGGGAAGAGCUCAAAUUUAUAAUCUGGCACCUUCGGUGUCCGAGUUGUAAUCUCUAGAAGUGUUUUCCGCGUUGGACCGCACACAAGUCUGUUGGAAUACAGCGGCAUAGUGGUGAAACCCCCGUAUAUGGUGCGGACGCCCAGCGCUUUGUGAUACACUUUCAAUGAGUCGAGUUGUUUGGGAAUGCAGCUCAAAUUGGGUGGUAAAUUCCAUCUAAAGCUAAAUAUUGGCGAGAGACCGAUAGCGAACAAGUACCGUGAGGGAAAGAUGAAAAGCACUUUGGAAAGAGAGUUAACAGUACGUGAAAUUGUUGGAAGGGAAACGCUUGAAGUCAGACUUGCUUGCCGGAGCUUGCUUCGGUUUGCAGGCCAGCAUCAGUUUUCCGGGGUGGAUAAUGACGGUUUGAAGGUAGCAGUCUCGGCUGUGUUAUAGCUUUCCGUUGGAUACAUCCUGGGGGACUGAGGAACGCAGCGUGCUUUUUGCGAAAGACUCGUCUUUUUCACGCUUAGGAUGCUGGUGGAAUGGCUUUAAACGACCCGUCUUGAAACAC